UACGUAGGGUGCGAGCGUUGAAUCGGAUUACUGGGCGUAAAGCGUGCGUAGGCGGUUCGUUAAGUCAGCUGUGAAAGCCCCGGGCUCAACCUGGGAACUGCGGUUGAAACUGGCGAACUAGAAUCUGGCAGAGGGGGGUGGAAUUCCACGUGUAGCAGUGAAAUGCGUAGAGAUGUGGAGGAACACCGAUGGCGAAGGCAGCCCCCUGGGCUGAGAUUGACGCUCAGGCACGAAAGCGUGGGGAGCAAACAGG
rnacentral:rRNA from 1 species